CUCAGAGAGGGGAACCCUGUUUCUGUCCUCUUGCAAUGAAUGUUUGUAGGUCUGAGUGUUGAUUCGUGUAGGAUUUUAUCUGCUUCCAGGCAAAUGAGUUUUCUUCCCUUGGGAGAAUGCACUUCUACUGUUGAGGAGCAAGGACUGGAGCGCAGAAGAUCCCAGACACAAUCCCCUUGACUCGAAAGGUUACUGGUCGUCAGUAUCGGGAACUGCUGCUCCCUGGAGGUCAGCUCCAGGCCCAGAAAAGCAGUGACACUGGAGGAACUGACACCACGGCUGAGGUCAGGCCGGAUGCACUGAUCAACCAUGGUGCUGAGCAAUCACAUACAGAGUAAUAAUACUGUUGGGAGAAACAUUUUAUAUUCAACAGCGACACUCUUGGAAUGUUGCAUAAUUUGCAGCCUUAACUAAAAAUGGCAAAUGUUCUCACAUGGAUGCUGUUAAAGAACAAAACUGAAUCAGUAAUCUUCAGAGCCCAGCUCUUGCCCCAGAAACCAUGAAUUCUGCUCGGGGCUGGUGAGAGGAGAGAAUGUUCCCUUCUCCCGCGUCCGCUGAGGAAGAGAUAAUAUCCAGUUUGAUACAACAAUCCUCAUGAAGAUUGAUGCUAACAAAGAAGUUUUGUAAACCACCCAGACCUCAAAAUUUGUUGCUAUGUCCUCUGAAAUUAAUCUCAACCUCCACGAAGUCUGAAAUUGCAGUUGGUUGCCACAUUUAUAAUAUUUGUAAUAUUUUAUCUUUUCUUAAGACAAAAAGCCAGAAAGGGAUGGCCCGGCUCUUCCAACUCCUUUCAUAAAAUGGAACAAACAAGUAAAAUGACUACAGGUUUCUUAUCUAAACCAAAAGAAGUGACUAUUUCUUAAUAAUGGCUA